rnacentral:rRNA from 1 species
AACGAACGCUGGCGGCAUGCCUAACACAUGCAAGUCGAACGAAGGCUUCGGCCUUAGUGGCGCACGGGUGCGUAACGCGUGGGAAUCUGCCCUUUGGUUCGGAAUAACAGCUGGAAACGGCUGCUAAUACCGGAUGAUGACGAAAGUCCAAAGAUUUAUCGCCAGAGGAUGAGCCCGCGUUGGAUUAGGUAGUUGGUGGGGUAAAGGCCUACCAAGCCGACGAUCCAUAGCUGGUCUGAGAGGAUGAUCAGCCACACUGGGACUGAGACACGGCCCAGACUCCUACGGGAAGCAGCAGUGGGGAAUAUUGGACAAUGGGCGCAAGCCUGAUCCAGCAAUGCCGCGUGAGUGAUGAAGGCCCUAGGGUUGUAAAGCUCUUUUACCCGGGAAGAUAAUGACUGUACCGGGAGAAUAAGCCCCGGCUAACUCCGUG